GGCACGCACGCACGCACGCGUCGCGCUCGUACGAGGUGAAACCGGCGUGAACGGUACGCGUUCUCCAUAUUCAUGCUCACCGACACCGAUGCAUAUCCUCCGGAUCUUCAAUUACGAUUGCCAAUGCUUCGUACGAAAUCAUUGCAUGCUUUAAGCCGUCGAGGCAAAUCGAUCAACACGUACGCUCGCGUUAUUGCAGCGCGUCACACGCAGUGCACGGUGUACCGAUUCCAUCCCACGCACGGUUGGUAGAAUACAAGAAUGGAUGCAAGAAAAGUGUUGCAAACACGUUUUAUAAAUUAUUGGCAAAUGUCUAUAAAUUACUAAAGCGACUCCUAUAUGAAGAAAAAUAUCAUUUUAUUGUAAGAAAAAUAAUUACUCAAUCUAAUGGCUUAGGACGCUCGUAUAAAAUACAAGAGAUCCGGGUUGGAUUCAAGUCCCAGCCGAGAUGAGAAAAAUGGAGUGCACAGAGAAAGAAAUCGAUAUCGAUAUACGUAUAGUCGUGAGAAUCGUAAACAUUUAAUAUGAGCGACACAGGGAAUUGUAUUGCGUAAUGACAGUAAGCUGCAUCUCGUUUCGAAGGGCUGAUCUUUUUCUCACGGCAUGCCCUUGUAAUUAAUCUGAUGUCGCUUACAAUUACUAAGAGAAUACAUAAAAUAGCGUUAAUCCGACGAUCUACUACUGGUGACUCGUUUCGAUAUAGAAAUCAUUUCGAUAACGAGGGUCAAGCUAUUCUCGGCUACACAAUGACCACGCAUUGUUGGCCAACAAUAAUAACGAGCGUGUGACGUAAGAUGCAGUUGGCUACGCGUGUAAUCGAGAGAACUGGUGAUCCAAAAAUUCUUCUGCAUAGUUAUACCUAGCUCAACCAACCAGGACAAAGCAAGUGUGAAGUCCGAAUUUUUUUUUCUGACCCAGAUUAACUGAUUCGUCACGGACAUUCGAUAUUGAAGUAUCAAACGUUCUUCAGCUACUUCUUCAACAUUGUUAUC